rnacentral:tRNA from 1 species
GGGCGAUUAGCUCAGUGGUAGAGCGCUUCGUUCACAUCGAAGAUGUCAGGAGUUCGAAUCUCUUAUCGCCCACCA